UCUUAUCAUCUUCUCAAAUUUUUUUACAGGUUUAAUGUUUUAUUCUUCCUCAUCCCAUUCAUAUUUCUUUUUGUAUUUACUUGUGAGUAUGUUUAAUUUUUACUGUCUGUUUAUAUACUUUAUUACCAGUUGUUUACUGAUCUCUAGAAUGGUAUUCAUCUGCAUCAUUUAGAUUGAUCUCGCUUUCAUCUCGUAUCAAUCAAUCAUACCUCCUGAGCAGAG
rnacentral:lncRNA from 1 species